AAAUCGGAGGCAAAGAGGGCCUGGUGAUGAAAGGGGAGCUUUCAUUUGGCGCUGCAGGCGCCGGGAGCAGAGGAGCGGGGGCUGUGUGCUCAUCAGAGGCAGGUGGGCGGUGUGGGACAGAGGCGGCGCGUGCAGGGGGGCGGCCAGACAGCGGUGAGCGACAGUGCACGUCUUUAAACAGCAGAAUGACAAUUGGAAACAUAAAAGCCAAGGCGGAAAGUGCGAAGGAAAUGGAGAAAAACAAACCCGGACUCAACUAUAGCUACCUGAAUGAGCAGGAGUUGAGAGAAGAAACGGCCAGUCAGGAUUGUAAGGGGUUAGCAACGCCUGCUGCAAGAUGGAAUCCCCCAAUGGUUCUCCCCAAGGAGAGAGGCUUUUGGCACUUGGCUGGGUCUCCCCAGGAGGCAGGAUUUGCUCCAGAGGAUCUAAUUCUGGCUGAAACCUACCAAAUUCUCAGGAAGAGGAAAAGCACAUUUUUGAGGAGCCUACUCCCUGCGUGCGUGAGGACUCUGCAGCCUGUCAAGCAGAUACUGAGUUUGGAGCUGCGCUCACUCAGCGCGAUCAACGUGCACGGUUCCCAGCGCCGCCCCGCGCCUCCCCCUCCAGGCUCGAGCUCGGCCCGGGCUUCAGGGGCACCGGGUCGGCUUGUUCUCCCCUCCGCCGCAGUGUCCCCGCGUCGUCGACGGCGUGGAGAGCUGUUCUGACAGAGCGAGAGAAGCCCCGCGGGGGUCAAGGAGGGCCGCAGCUUCUUCUCCAGCUGGGCUUUUGCAAAGAGCCUCCUAUGGGCUUUUCUUGGCGGAUCUCGCUCUUCACUGGCGUCCCGGAGGCCGCCCCCGCCUGUUUUCAAGUCUGGAGAAAUUGGGCGUGGGGGGGAGGAGCGGCGGGGUGCGGUGAUACCCUGAGUGCUCUGCCUCUGAGGAGCUGUUGCCGGUAGGGGGUGUGUGUGUGUGAGUGUGUGUACCUGCACACGUGCUCGCCCUGACUCUCCAUCUAAUCUGUCAAGGCCAACAGCACAGUAGGUGGGAACAACACGGGCUCAGGAGCAAGACUGUCAAAAGUGGAACUGACCUCCUUAGUCCUGCCUACCCUUGGACAAGUGGUUCUUUAUACUUCAAUUUCCUCAUGUAUAAAAUGAGAAUGAUGACGCCUGUCUCUACACUGUUUACGAUGUAUAUAAAGCAUUUAGCACUUGGCGCAUAAAAACAAUGAAGUUUAGCUUUCCCUGUUACACUGUCGUUUCAGAAUGAAUUUGAGAUGUUCUACAGGAAGUACACACAGCAAACAUGUAAUAAAAAAAGCUACCAGGAAAAGAAAAGUGGAAAU
rnacentral:lncRNA from 1 species